rnacentral:rRNA from 1 species
UACAGAGGUGGCAAGCGUUGUUCGGAAUUACUGGGCGUAAAGGGCGCGUAGGCGGUCAGGUCAGUCCCGUGUGAAAUCCCUCGGCUCAACUGAGGAACCGCACGGGAAACUGCCUGGCUUGAGUUUGGGAGAGGGAAGCGGAAUUCCGGGUGUAGCGGUGAAAUGCGUAGAUAUCCGGAGGAACACCGGUGGCGAAGGCGGCUUCCUGGACCGACACUGACGCUGAGGCGCGAAAGCUAGGGGAGCAAACGGG